UUUGGUUGAUCCUGYCAGUAGUCAUAUGCUUGUCUCAAAGAAUAAGCCAUGCAUGUCUAAGUACAAGCCUCAUUAAGGUGAAACCGCGAAUGGCUCAUUAAAUCACACUUAAUGUACUGGAUAGUUUCGGUUACUUGGAUAACUGCGGUAAUUCUGGAGCUAAUACAUGCGGACAAGCCCCGACUCACGGAGGGGCGCUUUUAUUAGAUCAAAACCAAACGGCUCUCCGGCCGUGCUUCUGGUGAUCCUGAAUAACUUUGGGCAGAUCGCAUGGCUUCAUGCCGGCGACGUAUCCUUCCAAGGUGUGCCCUAUCAACUGUCGACUGUGCUAUAGCUGACCACAGUGGUUUUGACGGGUAACGGGGAAUUAGGGUUCGAUUCCGGAGAGGGAGCCUGAGACACGGCUACCACUUCUAAGGAAGGCAGCAGGCACGCAAAUUACCCAAUGGUCGACGACCGAGGUAGUGACGAAAAAUAACGAUACCGGUCUCAUCCGAGGCCCGGUAAUCGGAAUGAGUACACUUUAAAUCCUUUAACGAGGAACAAUUGGAGGGCAAGUCUGGUGCCAGCAGCCGCGGUAAUUCCAGCUCC
rnacentral:rRNA from 1 species